UCAUGUGGCACCACGCUGCCCCUAGAGGCCAAUAUGCGCGCAGCAGGAGCCUCCAAAAUAUCUGCUCUCCUCUCAGCGCAUGACCUUUCGCUUAACAGCAAAGUUCUACGUCAAAGUUCGAAGUCGACCGCAGACUGCUUCCAAGUGGGCCAUACCUGUGUGUGGCAUACGUAUUUUGAGCGCAACAUCCUGCGCACCCUUUUCUAUUUCACGGUGACAUAAGUAGGCCAGUUCACUUUCUGCACUUUCCGGCGCUUACCGAGUCGGGUGGACGGACGCCGCCCCGGGUGACACCGCAAAGAUUCAAACCCCCAAAACAAAGAGCUGCAAAAUGGACUUGCUAACAACCAGCCAUGCUGUAAUCCGAUAGUACUGAGAUUGCAUUUAAGGCUCAAAUAAAUUAGGAAAACGGCAUGAACAAAGACAAGUUGCAGUCCGAGGCCGAUUGUUGUGUGACCUGCAGCAGUUCUGUUAUGUGUCCAAACGUCGGCGGCGGCGGCACAGUUUGGGAACAGCAUGCAGGAAGAGCAUGGGGGAGGGGGGGGGGCAUCCUGGCUUGGGAGGGAACUGAGAGGUUGUGAAGUUGAGCUCACGUGCACGGCAAAAUGCGUCUUCUUACACGUGAAGAACCCCCAAAAAACAAAAGAGGCAAGGCUGACGUUUUCUUCCAAUAAAUGAAGUGCUGUGGCCAGAAGGGACCCCCGAGUUUUCAUUUCUUCUCACAAUUUCAGGGCACCUCAGUGAGACUUGGAACCCGGGGGACCUGAGAACCGGGUCCGUGCGGGCCGCCGGAGGAGAGGAAAUGACCAAACAGCUUUUCCAAACAUCCCCGUGGCUGAGCGGGAGGCCGAUCGGAGAAAGCUUAGCGAGGACUCCCGUAAUGACAGGGAUCAAGUGAUACUGCAACACGCGGGGGGGGCUCCUCUCAUGGAUGAACAAACUCCUUUCCCGCCGAUUAAGCGCAUUUGGACCAAUGGCCCUCCAGCCACGGGCCGCGAGUUGCUUCCCACUUCGGAGAGGUGCGCGAGUGGUGCUGAAAGCAGGCGGCCAGCGCUCCCCCCACCCCCCACCUGUCGGCACUCGACAAUCGAAGGCGUCACCCGGGCAAUUAUACUCGCCGUGGCCCACACUGCUGAUGACAAGUGGAAGGAGAGGAAAAACUGGGUCUGCGAGGCCUUUUUGUUCCCCACGCCAACAUUGAGCAAGCAAAGAUGGCGCAACAAGGAGUCGGUCGGCUGCCGGUGGUACAAACAUUUGCGGGUCGAAACGCUCAAGUAGCCCAGAUUGUUUUUUGUUGGACAUACACAUAAAUUUAAAAAAGCUGUGCAAAGUUUAGUUGUUGUAUCAGAAUCAGCAACUUCCUGCUUUUCAAAUCUGAUCACAUUUCCGUGGUCCUCAUACUACAGAAUAAAAGAUGGCGGUCAUAUCUGAACCGCCGGAGGUUGUGCUCGCUUUUGCUUCUUCCAUAUUUGCUUUUUAGUUUCAUGCCAGUGUGACACACCAAAGAAACUCCAUCUG